rnacentral:lncRNA from 1 species
GGGCCUUGGAGGUGCUUUUGCCUCCCAAACCCAAUCCAACCUCCCCACACCUCCUUCAGAGAGGCCCAGAGAGGAAAGCUGUGGUGUCCCUGGGAGCUGGACCAGGGCCUGGGGUGGGGACGGGGGCGGGUUGUUCUUCUCUUGUUCCAGUCCCAAAAUGGCCUGGGCAAACCCCAGGAGGGCUGGCCACGCAUGGCAGAGGUUGGGGGCCGUGCAAGACCCUGGCAGAGUUCCCGCCGGUCUCUGUCUCAGUCUGUCUCUGCCCUUAGGGUUGGCACCCCCACCCCAGCUUCCCCGAGUGAGGCUUCCAUGGGCACAACUGGCCCUGGAGCCAGGACAGGUGUAUGGGGGCUGGGGGGGUGGAGGCAGCUCCCCAGAGAGCGAGUGUGAGUGGUGGGGCUGCAGGGGUGGGUCCUCCCAAAAGGAGAGGGGCCAGGGAGCCUGUCCCAACUGGCCCCAGGCAGGAGCAGAGGUUUGGAAAUGGCUUCUUCCGGGGACAGCUGCUUCAGCAGGGCUUCCUGUGUGACAGCCAUGUGGGGCGCGGGCCCAGCUCUCACCCCGACAACCACUUCCUCUUCUCUUUGCUUCCAUCAGCCCUUUUAAGCCUCUGCAACAGAGCCUGGCGUGGUGUUGCCCCACUGCAUGUUUGUUGACUGACUGGCUGAUGGAUGCAGAGCCCGUCCUUCCUAAUGGUUCAGACUCAGGCGUCAUCAGCCCAGAUGGCUCCGAGGGUGGGUUCUCUCUUAGUUACCGUGUCCAGAGCCCACCUCCCUCACACCCACACAGCGCUUCCUAAAGGCAGGGACAGGAGCUGGCCUCCCUCGCCUGCUGGCAUGGGGCUGGACACAGGAGGAAGUGGCGUGGGGGCUGCCUGAGGGGAGUGAGGCGGCAGGAUAGCUUCCCCAGCAGGUCUCUGGCUCAGGUCCAGGUAUCUCCUCCUCCCCAUACCUCUGCCUCUCGCCUCCGCUCAGAAAAGCAGGUGCCCUUAAGAGCCAUCUCCACCCCCAUGUAAACUGCACACAGGAAGGGAGAGGCCACUCCGACUGCUCUGAGGUCCAGGUAGGAUGGUUUCCCCCAGUGUCUGGGUGGGGAGCAAGGAACUCCAGGGGCGACCUUGUGCCACCGCAUCACCUUCCUGCUCAGGGAAGGGGCCUGUGCUGCCGCUUGGAGGGUGCCAUGCCCAGAGCCUCUGCCCCUAGCCUCAGCCUCGCCUACUCACUGGGGGCUCCAGCACCCCCGGCCACCCCAGGACUCCCGAAGAGGCUGCUAGGUCGGCCUGCCCAAAGAGCGGUGAGGAGCGUAUGUGAAGAGCCCCAGUCUUGAGGAGCAGCCUGUAUCUGGAGAGAGGGGAGCCCCGGACCAGAGGUGGGGGACAGGAAGCCAUCGCCCCACCCUGCCUCCUCCCCCACCACAGGUGGCCCUCGCCCCGGCCCACCCGCGCCUCCCAGGCCCAGCCUCACCUGCUGCCGAGAGAGGACAGUGAUCCCCCAAAAGCCGGAGGUGGAGGAGGAGGAGGAAGAGGAGGAAGGAGCUGGAGGAGCCGGGGACUCGCCCGCUGAAGAUGCUCUUGUCAAGACAAUGAAUGAGAAGCAGCCGUGCGCCCGCCUCCGGGGUGGCCGCGCCCCUUGGGGCGGAGCUCUUCCAGGCCCGCCCUGCGCUCCCGGGCUCCCGCUGCGGCCGC